GAUGAACGCUGGCGGCGUGCUUAACACAUGCAAGUCGAACGAAGCACUCUAUUUGAUUUUCUUCGGAAAUGAAGAUUUUGUGACUGAGUGGCGGACGGGUGAGUAACGCGUGGGUAACCUGCCUCAUACAGGGGGAUAACAGUUGGAAACGACUGCUAAUACCGCAUAAGCGCACAGUAUCGCAUGAUACAGGGUGAAAAACUCCGGUGGUAUGAGAUGGACCCGCGUCUGAUUAGCUAGUUGGUGGGGCAACGGCCUACCAAGGCGACGAUCAGUAGCCGACCUGAGAGGGUGACCGGCCACAUUGGGACUGAGACACGGCCCAAACUCCUACGGGAGGCAGCAGUGGGGAAUAUUGCACAAUGGGGGAAACCCUGAUGCAGCGACGCCGCGUGAACGAAGAAGUAUUUCGGUAUGUAAAGUUCUAUCAGCAGGGAAGAUAAUGACGGUACCUGACUAAGAAGCACCGGCUAAAUACGUGCCAGCCGCCGCCGUAA
rnacentral:rRNA from 1 species